UACAGAGGGUGCAAGCGUUGUUCGGAAUUAUUGGGCGUAAAGGGCGCGUAGGCGGUGCGGUAAGUCUGUAGUGAAAUCUCUGGGCUCAACUCAGAGUCUGCUAUAGAAACUGCCGUGCUCGAGUGUGGGGAGGAUGGUGAGGUAGGUCGAAUUCCCGGGUGUAGGCUGGUAGAAAUGCGUAGAUAGUCGGGAGGAACACCCUGGUGGCGAAAGCGGCUCACUGGACCACAACUGACGCUGAUGCGCGAAAGCUAGGGGAGCAAACAGG
rnacentral:rRNA from 1 species